rnacentral:rRNA from 1 species
GACGAACCGUCCUAACGUUGUUCGGAAUCACUGGGCUUAAAGGGCGCGUAGGCGGACCGCCAAGUCCGGGGUGAAAUCUUUCGGCUUAACCGGAAAAUUGCCUUGGAUACUGGCGGUCUCGAGGGAGGUAGGGGCAUGUGGAACUUCCGGUGGAGCGGUGAAAUGUGUUGAUAUCGGAAGGAACGCCGGUGGCGAAAGCGACGUGCUGGACCUCUUCUGACGCUGAGGCGCGAAAGCCAGGGGAGCAAACGGG